rnacentral:rRNA from 1 species
CCUACGGGGCGCAGCAGUGGGGAAUAUUGGGCAAUGGGCGCAAGCCUGACCCAGCAACGCCGCGUGAAGGAAGAAGGCUUUCGGGUUGUAAACUUCUUUUAUGAGGGACGAAACAAAUGACGGUACCUCAUGAAUAAGCCACGGCUAACUACGUGCCAGCAGCCGCGGUAAUACGUAGGUGGCAAGCGUUAUCCGGAUUUACUGGGUGUAAAGGGCGUGUAGGCGGGACUGCGAGUCAGAUGUGAAAAUUAUGGGCUCAACCCAUAACCUGCAUUUGAAACUGUAGUUCUUGAGUGAUGGAGAGG